GGUCUGGAUGAAUAUCAAUGGGCUUCGAGGGUCCUUAUUGGUUGUCCCCACUCGUAGACUCCGAUCUUUGGUCUGGAUGAAUAUUGAUGGGCUCCAGGGGUCCUUAUUGAUUGUCCUCGAUCGUAGAUUCUGAUCUUUAUAGCUGUUGAUUUGCUGAAGAGCGAGGAGCCUUUUUCAUAUACCAAUGACUCGCUAAAGAGUAAGAGGCCUGGUGUUAGUGUUGCUGAUACUGUUUUAGCCAA
rnacentral:lncRNA from 1 species